CGACAUGGUGGCUGUGCGCGGGAGACCUUCGGGUCUACCGGGUCUUAUACCUCCCGGUUCGCUAACCUGCGUACAGCUGCCACCCUU
rnacentral:antisense_RNA from 1 species